rnacentral:ncRNA from 1 species
AGUAAUACGUUGAUGAGGAGUAGUAAAUAAGAAAAUUGUUUUAGAGAGAAAGACAUUUGGUGAAAGUCUUUUAACAAUGGAAUUAUUGAAUUCACCUUUGAGUGCGACUAAUCACCGCCGUUUAAGCUACGUUACAGCUAAUUAAGUGUAUGACAUUUUGUCAUAAAUUAGGAUGGUACCGCGAGAUAAUCGUUCCUAUU